UACGGAGGGUGCAAGCGUUGUUCGGAUUUACUGGGCGUAAAGCGCGCGCAGGUGGGGUGUGCAAGUCGGAAGUGAAAUCUUGAGGCUCAACCUCGAGGCUGCUCCCGAAACUGCACGCCUAGGGACUGGUAGAGGCUGGUAGAAUUCCCGGUGUAGCGGUGGAAUGCGUAGAGAUCGGGAAGAAUACCCGUGGCGAAGGCGGCCAGCUGGGCCAGGUCCGACACUGAGGCGACGGAAAGCGUGGGGGAGCAAACAGGAUUA
rnacentral:rRNA from 1 species